UCCUUCCAUCAGUAAACUGCUCCUGUGGGAAAACCUUGCCAGUGACCAUACGUGAUCUGGUUGAAAGUGGUUACUGGCCAGCCACUGUCAAUUUUAAGACCUUGUACAUGGUGGACUUGUUCACCACGUAUGCGGACCUAAAAAUCACUGCCCCAGGGAUGUCGAGACAAGCUUUUGUCAGCAUGCUCUAGUGUUGAACAAAACUCUUCGGGCGAAGUGGUAAGAUAUGUGGGGAUACGAUGCAGAGGGCCUUCCUCGAAUGGGCCUAUGCCAAAUUUGAGGUUGACAAGCUGUCUCAGGUCCAGCAUUUUCAGUGCCCUGCAUGCACACCCUCCAUGUUGGCAGUUGCAGUGGAUGGGAACCGCAAAUUAUAUCAUUUCGAAAGCCAACCAGGACCUGAUGGGUUUUUUGAUGUAGUCUUUUUGAUACUGAGGUGUCCUCCUUUGUUGAUUACAUCCAUGGAACAACUGGACAUAAUCCAGGGAAAGGGAGAUGUGGUGUGGGUCAGUGGACCACAGCACGAGAGUCCGCCAACAAGUCUGCAAGCAAACUAGAUGAGGAAGGUGUUGAAGUUGCUGUCUGCCGUCAUGGGGUUUUGCUGAAGGGACUCAAUAUGUUCCGUUGAGAAAUAUUUGCAUACCCAUUGUAUCUCCAGUAACAGCUAGCUUCACAGACCGUCCAGUUUUUUUUUUUUGCUCUGAUGUGGUCUGCAAAUAUUGGCCAUAUCUGCAGAGAGUUGUGGACCACUGUCCAGAGUUGGAGGACUUGCUGAACAUGCGCCUAUUUCUCUCCAUCAUGCAUGCAAAAGCGCAUUCAUGGAUGUGUGAGGCAAUAAUGACAAUUAGAUGUAUUUCUUAUCAUUUGUACCACACAUUAUGAUUGUCUGUCCUCUGCUCCUACUUUUUGUUUUCCAAAUGAUAACAUUCAUGUUAAUGUGUUAUAGUUAGA